GUGGAAACAACGCUUCCAAAGCCCUGGAAUGCAGCUGUGAAGGUACAUAAACACUGAGGAUGUUGCUCCUGCGACUCACACCACCACAACCCUCUCAGAAGAAAUCCUCCAGCAACAUCAGCCACAGCCAAAAAGGCAAAGGCAAAACUAUAGCAAUAAGCCACCAGUCAAGCAACUGCCAUAAACUCAGCAGAACCUCCCAGCCGUGUCCAGGAAAAGCAGCGCUAUCAAAGUCAGGAGCAGGUAUUGCCAGGCAGAGAGGUGCUUCAGUUUGAGGAAGUGUUUUAAACUAGUGCCUUGAGGCUCCUGGAACCUUCAGGGUGGUGAAACGCACUGCUUCCUCGGUCUUACCGCCCUCUCCUGACAGCUACGAACGGCCCUCCCCAGCCAGCAGGGCCUGGCCUACCCCAGCCUCCUGCCCAGGGGCUCCCUGCAGAGCCCCCAGCCCCUGGCCCUGCUGGGUGCCCCUCUCUGGUCCUGCGUCUGCGCCCUCCGCCUGGGCUCUCUGAUGCGCUCAGCGGUGUCACAGAGCUGGCGGUGACCUCACAGUCUCACUCCUGCCCUUAUCCCCCGGUGGCAGCAGCCACCGAGGCCUGUGUCGCACGGAGAAGCGUCUCCAGAGGAUGGCACAGACACUCGUCUCUGGUCCCAGCAUGCUGGAUACCCUGGGGCUGGCACUUCACGGCUGCCUCUGCCUCGGCCCCGGCCUCGUCCUGCUCCUGGUGGCCUGGGCCACCCUGCGCUGCUGCCGCAGCACUUCAGGCAAACGCCACCAGGUCUGUGACGGGAGCCGAGGCAGGGGAAGGCGCAGCAAGGUUCAUGAAACAGAUGCUGAGGCGCGCGCUCAUGGCUGCGGGAGCAGCCCGAUCUGGAUCGGCAGCAGACCCUUAGGCCAGCUUCUGUGUUACGACCUCGACUGUGAACGCUGCAGCCAGGCUGUCAGGGAGAGGCAGCAGCGGCUCCUUGCCAGGAAGGCCAGAGCCUCCUGCUGUUCACACUCCUCUUCCUCUUCGGACUCCAGAGACUCCUGCCAGCACAGGGCCAUGGCCAGAUCAUUCCGCCCAGCCAAGCUAACAUCCGUCAGAUCCUGGUGGCAGCCAGUGUUGCGGAACAGAAAGUGGAGGAGACCCUUUCCCCAGCAUGCAGCGAUGCCCCAAACAGCGCUGAAAACCCAUGGGGCAACCACACUCCCCCGCGAUGCUGGGCCUCUCAGACAGGCCGAGGAGCUUGCCAAGACAUCUCCCAGGCACCAUGAGGCUGGCUUGCCCCCCACCUCAGGCUCUGACAUGGCUGACAAGGAUGGCAGCCUGCCCGCUGGUGUGGAUCUUCAUCCUGUGAAAAGGCUGGAGCAAGGACUGGGCUUCUGGAAGCUCCUGCAGAUGCACACCCUGAGGAAGUCCAUAGAGAUGCAGCUGGGAGCCCUCCCCACCACGGUGCAGCAAUCCCACAGGAGGUACACAUACAGGAUGUCACGCCGCACAGCUCCCGCGCUGCUGCACUCCCGUCCUGCCCCCUCCUACUUCUGCUCAGCGGAGGCCCUGUUCCUGCCUGAGGACGUGCGGGAGUUCCUGGAGAUGCACAUCCGUGAGAAGAAGCUGCGCCACCAAUGGGGCUUGCCUGCAGGGUCGCUGGGAGGACCCCAGGCACUGCCAUCAGCCCCUAACAGCAGCACGCAGGGCUCCACGUUCAGCACCACCCUCAAGAUCCAGGGUUGGGCACCAGAAAAGCGGGUGUCCCAUGGAAAACAUCCCCUGCUGCCUGUGCUGUGAGGGACAGAAGCUGUGAGGGAACGUGGAGGCCUCCCCAUCACUGACUCUUCCUACUCCUGUUAAAUCCAUUAAACCCAUUCCUAUUAAAACUCUACCUCUUCUGGGUAGCUGCACUGAUACGAACAGAGAUGGAGGAUCUGGGAAACUACAGGCCAGUCAGUCUCACCUCUGUCCCUGGAAAGGUGUUGGAAUAGUUUGUUCUGGAUGCCAUCUCCAAGCAAUUGGAAGAGAAUAAUAUUAUGAGGAGUAGUCAGCAUGGAUUCACCAAGGGGAAAUCAUGCUUGACCAACCUCAUUGCUUUCUAUGAUGGCAUCACUAGCUCGGUAGAUGGGGGGAAAGCAGUGGAUGUCAUCUACCUUGACUUCAGCAAGGCAUUUGAUACUGUCUCCCACGACAUCCUGCUAACAAAGCUGAGAAAGAGUGCGAUAGAUGAGUGGACAGUAAGGUGGGUUGAGAACUGGCUGACUGGCCGAGCUCAGAGGGUGGUGAUCAGUGGUGCAGAGUCUGGUUGGAGACCUGUGACAAGUGGUGUUCUGCAGGGGUUGGUGCUGGGUCAGGUCUUGUUCAACACCUUCAUCAACGACCUUAAUGAGGGAAUAGUGUCCACCUUCAGCAAGUACACCGAUGAUACAAAGCUGGGAGGAGUGGCCGACAUGCCAGAAGGCUGUGCUGCCAUUCAGCGAGACCUGGACAGGCCGGAGAGCUGGGCAGGAAGAAACCAAAUGAAGUUUAACAAGAGCAGGUGUAGAGUCCUGCACCUGGGAAGGAACAACCGCAUAUAUCAGUACAGGCUGAGGGAUGACCUGCUGGAGAGGAGCUCUGUGGAGAAGGACCUGGGGGUCCUGGUGGACAACAGGUUGGCCAUGAGCCAGCAGUGUGCCCUGGUGGCCAAGAAGGCCAAUGGCAUUCUGGUGUGCAUUAAAAGGAGUAUGGCCAGCAGGUCAAGGGAGGUGAUCCUCCCCCUCUACUCUGCCCUGGUCAGGCCUCACCUGAAGUAUUG
ensembl:lncRNA